rnacentral:rRNA from 1 species
GACGAACGCUGGCGGCGUGCUUAACACAUGCAAGUCGAACGAUGACGCCCGAGCUUGCUCGGUCUGAUUAGUGGCGAACGGGUGAGUAACACGUGAGCAACCUGCCCUUCACUCUGGGAUAACCUCGGGAAAUCGGGGCUAAUACCGGAUAUGAGCUCCUGUCGCAUGGCGGGGGUUGGAAAGUUUUUCGGUGGAGGAUGGGCUCGCGGCCUAUCAGUUUGUUGGUGAGGUAGUGGCUCACCAAGGCGAUGACGGGUAGCCGGCCUGAGAGGGCGACCGGCCACACUGGGACUGAGACACGGCCCAGACUCCUACGGGAGGCAGCAGUGGGGAAUAUUGCACAAUGGGCGAAAGCCUGAUGCAGCGACGCCGCGUGAGGGAUGACGGCCUUCGGGUUGUAAACCUCUUUCAGCAGGGAAGAAGCGAAAGUGACGGUACCUGCAGAAGAAGCGCCGGCUAACUACGUG